GGCUCAGAACGAACGCUGGCGGCAUGCCUCAUACAUGCAAGUCGAACGAAGUCUUCGGACUUAGUGGCGAACGGGUGCGUAACGCGUGGGAACCUGCCCUUAGGUUCGGAAUAACAGUUAGAAAUGACUGCUAAUGCCGGAUAAUGUCUUCGGACCAAAGAUUUAUCGCCUUUGGAUGGGCCCGCGUAGGAUUAGGUAGUUGGUGAGGUAAAGGCUCACCAAGCCGACGAUCCUUAGCUGGUCUGAGAGGAUGAUCA
rnacentral:rRNA from 1 species